UCAAUAACAAACAAUGCUUGUUUUUCUUGCCACGGUCGACAUACGCCACGAUAUUGGCAAAAAACUUUCACACAAAAUUCAUUCAGAGACACGUUUUCACACCGCACAUUCGUGACAAUCGAGACUUAAGAUAGUAUUAAUAGUGUUCACCGCUUUCUUCGUGACCCUGUUCGUAGCUACCAUGCGCACCUUCAUCACCCUGUUGUCCUUCGUGAUAAUAUGAAGCGUUUUCGUCGCCUUCAUGCGCCGCUUCCUGACUGUAUUGGUAAUGGCCGCUGGGUUCCUCCUGGCUGUGUGCUUCAUCCUGACCGACUUCUUCAGAGUAUCCACCGUGGUAUUGCGCAGGUUCGUAUUGUUUAACAUCAGCAUGUUGUUCAGCUUGAUGCUCCUGAUGAUCGUCAUGUUCGUAAGAAUGUCCUCCAGCAGCGACGAAUUUAUGUCCGCCAUGAUGACCAUAGAUUUCGGAGUGGAUGGCGGCUACGGCGUAUCCUGGUUCGUGUUUGCUGCCAUGAUGAACUUCCACUUUGGAUUCGGUCUUCCCCUCACUGACUGGAUGCUCAAGAUUUCCCAAACAAACAAAAACUUAUAUGGAUGUGGGGUCUACACCAAAUAGUGAUUAACUAAGAAUUAUAUAUUUUUUAAUUUAAUUUAAUGUCUGGUAAAGUUUUGUUCAUACAAAUUAUAAUGUGACCCUUAUUUCACAGAAAACUCUGGGGAAAACAUACUGUAUCUUUUGUAUUGAUAGAGCGAUGUAGGCUGUCUCAUCGUCAUUUAGUAGUUAACGAGUCAUUUUAUAACGUGCGUAUCUCCCCAACUCUUUAAACCCUUGGGAAGUUACAAUUUUUUGUUUAUUUUGAAAAGAUACUAUGGAAAACAACUUAUACAUCACGCCCUAAUUAAGUCAUUUUCAGUUUCUCAUUGCCAUUUUAUAGUUUAUGAGUGCUUUUAUAAAGUGCUUUUUGUAAGUCCUCGAAAAUGAGCACUAAAGUUGCUGUUCAUUUGGUUAUUUUUUAUUUGUUCGGCUGAAACACAUAGCCUAAAUUCUGAGUCGAAUCCUUUUCGUAAAAAUUAUUUUUGGUCGAAGAACAGAGUCAAAUUUUCGUUUUUUCAAAUUAUUUUGAAUAAAAGGAUGAAACAUUUAAAGAAAAAAUCAGGUUGAAACUGUCGAAAGCGCCUCCACCAAAAAAAUUAUCUCGAAAACUAAAAGGAUUACAUAUUCUUAAUCCUUGAUUAAUUUUCAACAAGAUGGCAUAUAUGUUAUAAAAUGAACAAAAUUGAAUAAAAAAAUGCAAAAAAGAUUUUGUUACGAGGAGAGGCAAAUCUUUUCACCUUUUUUAAAUACAAAAUUAAAAGUUGGGUUUUUAAAUUUAUGAUUGCGGAUUCUAAGCAAACGAUUAAAUUUGAGCAAUUAAUCUACAUUUUACAUUUUUUUAUCAUGACUUGGUUAGGUCCUAUUGGGUUGUAAAGAUUACAUUUUACUCGCAACAGUCCUAGUUAGUCCAGGGCUUACGCUUGAUUAUUUAUUGGCUCAACAACUAUUUUUUAAGCUAGAGAAAAAUGGGAAAUGCUAUUCGAUAAAGAAUUGCAGGAGGAUGUAAGAUAUUCAAUCAGUUUUCCGAUAGCAUCAAUGUUUUGGAAA